rnacentral:rRNA from 1 species
UACGGGGGGGGCAAGCGUUGUUCGGAAUUACUGGGCGUAAAGCGCGUGUAGGCGGCCGUGCAAGUCGGGUGUGAAAGCCCUGGGCUCAACCCAGGAAGUGCAUUCGAUACUGCGCGGCUCGAGUCCCGGAGAGGGUGGUGGAAUUCUCGGUGUAGAGGUGAAAUUCGUAGAUAUCGAGAGGAACACCUGUGGCGAAGGCGGCCACCGUGGACGGGCACUGACGCUGAGACGCGAAAGCGUGGGUAGCAAACAGGG